GAUGAACGCUGGCGGCGUGCCUAAUACAUGCAAGUCGAGCGAACAGACGAGGAGCUUGCUCCUCUGACGUUAGCGGCGGACGGGUGAGUAACACGUGGAUAACCUACCUAUAAGACUGGGAUAACUUCGGGAAACCGGAGCUAAUACCGGAUAAUAUAUUGAACCGCAUGGUUCAAUAGUGAAAGACGGUUUUGCUGUCACUUAUAGAUGGAUCCGCGCCGCAUUAGCUAGUUGGUAAGGUAACGGCUUACCAAGGCGACGAUGCGUAGCCGACCUGAGAGGGUGAUCGGCCACACUGGAACUGAGACACGGUCCAGACUCCUACGGGAGGCAGCAGUGGGGAAUCGUCCGCAAUGGGCGAAAGCCUGACGGAGCAACGCCGCGUGAGUGAUGAAGGUCUUCGGAUCGUAAAACUCUGUUAUUAGGGAAGAACAAAUGUGUAAGUAACUAUGCACGUCUUGACGGUACCUAAUCAGAAAGCCACGGCUAACUACGUG
rnacentral:rRNA from 1 species